AACGAACGCUGGCGGCAGGCUUAACACAUGCAAGUCGAGCGCCCCGCAAGGGGAGCGGCAGACGGGUGAGUAACGCGUGGGAACGUACCCUUCUCUGCGGAAUAGCUCCGGGAAACUGGAAUUAAUACCGCAUACGCCCUUUGGGGGAAAGGUUAAUCGGGGAAGGAUCGGCCCGCGUUGGAUUAGCUAGUUGGUGGGGUAAAGGCCUACCAAGGCGAGGAUCCAUAGCUGGUCUGAGAGGAUGAUCAGCCACAUUGGGACUGAGACACGGCCCAAACUCCUACGGUGUGCAGCAGUGGGGAAUAUUGGACAAUGGGGGCAACCCUGAUCCAGCCAUGCCGCGUGAGUGAUGAAGGCCUUAGGGUUGUAAAGCUCUUUCACCGGUGAAGACAAUGACGGUAACCGGAGAAGAAGCCCCGGCUAACUUCGUGCCAGCAGCCGCGGUAA
rnacentral:rRNA from 1 species